AGUAAGAUCCCUGAAAGAUGAUCAGGUUGAUAGGUCUGAGGUGGAAGUGUGGCGACACAUGGAGCUGACAGAUACUAAUCGAUCGAGGACUUAACCACAUUU
rnacentral:rRNA from 1 species